CAGUAGUAACAGGUGAAAACCCUGAAGAUGCGUGUUUUCCUUAUACUAGCUGCUCUGUCGGCAGCAGUAGUGGCCAUCCCUUUUAACCUGCCUGAACCCGCUAAAUUAGCUUUCGUUUUGAACGAGGAUGACUUUGAAGACUACUUAGACACCUGGCUCAGUGCAGAGCAAAACAAAUACGCCAACGAAACCAGCAGCCGGGAUGCGCGAAGUGGAUGCACGUUCAGAGUGAAUGGUGACUUAGGUCAGCCGCAGCCAGUUUACUUACAUAGGGGUUCUUACCUCCUUCCUAAUGGUAAUUCUGGACAGAUUCGUCUGAACACUGGUGAACAAGUGUAUGUCGCCUGUACUGGAUCCGGUCGUCAGCUCCGCCAUCCUAAUAUAAUUGGAAACAGGGCGUCUGCUACUGCUACCUGCGUCAAUAAUAACCUGGUUUCUGGAUCCGGAUGGUUAAAUGGGAACAGAGCCUUUGGGCAGCUCACUUGCUCUACUCACUCUCAACAUGACGCUCAAUCCACUAACACCAGAUGUUGGGGCAACAACAUAGUUAUUCGCGUGGGUUUCAUCGUCAACGGUGUGUUCCACCCUCUCUAUUGGUCUUGCUUCAACCAACAGCGUCUUGAAGUUGUGUAUGUAUGGUAUCAACAAAAUCCUACGAACCAGGUGUUCCAGUCUGGUGUUGACCGUCCCAGCUGGUUAGCUGGCAGCUUUUUCCCGGGAGUGGCGAUAAACAAUGUCUACACUCAAGCGUCUCAAAGGAACAUGAUUGCUUCUUUUGUCGGCAAUGAUUUGGCUAACAGAUAUGUGACAAGUAGCCAAUUUUUGGCUCGUGGUCACUUGGCUGCCAAAACUGAUUUUAUUUACGCAACUGGCCAGCGUGCUACAUUCUAUUUCAUAAACGCUGCACCUCAAUGGCAGCCUUUUAACGCGGGUAACUGGAACUCCCUUGAGCAAAAUCUCCGAAGACGUAUAGGACAAGCCGGCUAUCAAACCACUAUUUACACUGGAACCUUCGGUGUUACUCAGCUUCGUAACCAGCAAAAUCGUCUUGUAGACAUUUUCUUACAUCGCGCCUCUAACGGAGCCAUGCAAGUUCCGGUUCCUCUGUACUUCUAUAAGGUGGCUUACGACGCCAACCGACGUCUCGGAACGGCGUUCAUCAGCAUCAACAACCCCUACUACACCGCGAACGAAGCCAGGAACCUGCAGUUCUGCACUGACCGGUGCCGCAACAACAACGCCUUCAAUUGGAUCGGUUGGAGACCUGACCGCAUCGACCUGGGCUACAGUUUCUGUUGCACUGUCGAUGACUUCAGAAGGAGAAUUCCUCAUUUACCCGCAUUCCAAACUAACGGUCUUCUUACAUAAACGUUAAGAAUAUAAAAAAGUAAGAAGAAGAAAAAAUUCAAAAGCUAUAAAAAAAUGUGGAUAAAAUCAUCUUUUGAUUAGACGUUGCGAUUGAGAAUAUACAUACCUUUUAACAAAGACAAUUUAAACUAAAUCGUGUGUGUACUUUCUGCACUAUAAAUAAAUGUUAACUAUAAUUCAAAA